rnacentral:rRNA from 1 species
GACUCGGCGAGAAGUCCAUUGAACCUUAUCAUUUAGAGGAAGGAGAAGUCGUAACAAGGUUUCCGUAGGUGAACCUGCGGAAGGAUCAUUGUCGAGACCGAAAUAUACACCGAGCGAAUCGGAGAACCCGUGAAACGAACGACGUGCGGCGGCCGCCGCGGAACGGCCGUCCGAGCCGUCGUCCCGUCUCCUCUUUCGGGCGGGAGGCGGCGCGGCGGAGAGGACGGAUGAAAACACAAACCGGCGCAGCAUCGCGCCAAGGGAAAACCGAAAGGCACGAGCCCCACGUCGGGCUCGGUGGCGUGGAGUGCUGUUGCACCCCAUGCGGAUGGACACGACUCUCGGCAAUGGAUAUCUCGGCUCUCGCAUCGAUGAAGAGCGCAGCGAAAUGCGAUACGUGGUGCGAAUUGCAGAAUCCCGCGAACCAUCGAGUCUUUGAACGCAAGUUGCGCCUGAGGCCAGCCGGCCGAGGGCACGUCCGCCUGGGCGUCAAGCUACGCGUCGCUCCGCGCCAGCUCCGUUCCGCCAGAUGGGGGUGACGGCCGAGGCUCGGACGUGCAGAGUGGCCCGUCGUGCCGGUCGGUGCGGCGGGCUGAAGAGCGGGCUAUGUCUCGCCGGCCGCGAACAACAAGGGGUGGGUGAAAGCUGCGAGCGCGGCCUGCGUUGUCUCGUGCUGGCCCGAGAGAUGGAUCGUGCCCUCCAGGAGAGAUCCCGACCCCAAGCGCCGGCCCGGAUGCGUCGGCUUUGGAAUGCGACCCCAGGACGGGCGAGGCCACCCGCCGAGUUUAAGCAUAUC